GGCCUCCUGGUGCUUACCACAAGCUGUGUUCUUACACUAACUGCAUAGAAAGAGGAGGCAAAUAAAUCUAUCCCAUAUGCACAUCACCCAGGACCUUGCCUGGUCUGUAUUAUGAAUGGGAAGACAUGG
rnacentral:snoRNA from 1 species